CAGCCGUGCUGCCCGUAGCAUUGCUCGCAGUGCUGCCCAGCAGAAAGUAGAGACGGAUCUGCAAUUGGAUUUUGAGGCAGCGUACAACCGGCUUGUAGAACAGUACCCGGUGACUCUGGAGGGUGGAGCACCAGAUAAGGCUCUCCGCGCUGACAUACCACCUAGCUUUCAGCGGAAGUUGAAACGAGCGAUGGGUGAAGGCCCAGAUGAAACUGCGCAAGCAGCAUAUUCACUCGUGCUUUGGCCCUCACCUACCCAGUGAAGAAAAGGUCAGCAAGUGGAUCUCUGAUCAGGGAUGGAGGAGCAACAUACCCAGUACAGCCCAGUUCGUAAAAGAACGGAAGCCCCAUUCUUGAAGCUUUCUUCCUGGACUGGUCCACUGCACACCACGAGGAGCUCUCUGAUGGUUCGCUGUCCAACCCUGUUGGCUGUGUGGCUCUGGAGGAGGAAGGCCCUGACCUCUCAAUGGAAACAGACCUUCAAAAUGAAAACCCUAAACACAAG
ensembl:lncRNA